CUAUGCGCCUUGCCAGCCCGCUCAGGUGUGCCAGCCGCCGCGGUAAUACGUAGGGGGCUAGCGUUAUCCGGAAUUACUGGGCGUAAAGGGUGCGUAGGUGGUUUCUUAAGUCAGAGGUGAAAGGCUACGGCUCAACCGUAGUAAGCCUUUGAAACUGGGAAACUUGAGUGCAGGAGAGGAGAGUGGAAUUCCUAGUGUAGCGGUGAAAUGCGUAGAUAUUAGGAGGAACACCAGUUGCGAAGGCGGCUCUCUGGACUGUAACUGACACUGAGCACGAAAGCCAGGGAGCGAAAGGG
rnacentral:rRNA from 1 species